rnacentral:rRNA from 1 species
GAUGAACGCUAGCGGCAGGCUUAACACAUGCAAGUCGAGGGGUAGGAGAAGCUUGCUUUUCUGAGACCGGCGCACGGGUGCGUAACGCGUAUGCAAUCUACCUUUCACAGAGGGAUAGCCCAGAGAAAUUUGGAUUAAUACCUCAUAGUAUAAUUGAAUGGCAUCAUUUAAUUAUUAAAGAUUUAUCGGUGAAAGAUGAGCAUGCGUCCCAUUAGCUAGUUGGUAUGGUAACGGCAUACCAAGGCUACGAUGGGUAGGGGUCCUGAGAGGGAGAUCCCCCACACUGGUACUGAGACACGGACCAGACUCCUACGGGAGGCAGCAGUGAGGAAUAUUGGACAAUGGGCGCAAGCCUGAUCCAGCCAUGCCGCGUGCAGGAUGACGGUCCUAUGGAUUGUAAACUGCUUUUAUACAGGAAGAAACACCUCUACGUGUAGAGACUUGACGGUACUGUAAGAAUAAGGAUCGGCUAACUCCGUGCCAGCAGCCGCGGUAAUACGGAGGAUCCAAGCGUUAUCCGGAAUCAUUGGGUUUAAAGGGUCCGUAGGCGGUCAGAUAAGUCAGUGGUGAAAGCCCAUCGCUCAACGGUGGAACGGCCAUUGAUACUGUCUGACUUGAAUUAUUAGGAAGUAACUAGAAUAUGUAGUGUAGCGGUGAAAUGCUUAGAGAUUACAUGGAAUACCAAUUGCGAAGGCAGGUUACUACUAAUUGAUUGACGCUGAUGGACGAAAGCGUGGGUAGCGAACAGGAUUAGAUACCCUGGUAGUCCACGCCGUAAACGAUGGAUACUAGCUGUUGGGAGCAAUCUCAGUGGCUAAGCGAAAGUGAUAAGUAUCCCACCUGGGGAGUACGAACGCAAGUUUGAAACUCAAAGGAAUUGACGGGGGCCCGCACAAGCGGUGGAGCAUGUGGUUUAAUUCGAUGAUACGCGAGGAACCUUACCAAGGCUUAAAUGUAGUUUGACCGGUUGGAAACAG